UACGUAGGGUGCAAGCGUUAAUCGGAAUUACUGGGCGUAAAGCGUGCGCAGGCGGUUGUGCAAGCCAGAUGUGAAAUCCCCGGGCUCAACCUGGGAACUGCAUCUGUGACUGCAUUGCUGGAGUGCGGCAGAGGGGGAUGGAAUUCCGCGUGUAGCAGUGAAAUGCGUAGAUAUGCGGAGGAACACCGAUGGCGAAGGCAAUCCCCUGGGCCUGCACUGACGCUCAUGCACGAAAGCGUGGGGAGCAAACAGG
rnacentral:rRNA from 1 species